GAUGAACGCUAGCUACAGGCUUAACACAUGCAAGUCGAGGGGCAGCAUGAGGUCAGCUUGCUGACUUUGAUGGCGACCGGCGCACGGGUGAGUAACGCGUAUCCAACCUGCCCAUAACUAAGGGAUAAUCCGUAGAAAUGCGGUCUAAUACCUUAUGUUGUCCGAGGAAGACAUCUGAUUCGGACGAAAGAUUUAUCGGUUAUGGAUGGGGAUGCGUCUGAUUAGCUUGUUGGCGGGGUAACGGCCCACCAAGGCGACGAUCAGUAGGGGUUCUGAGAGGAAGGUCCCCCACAUUGGAACUGAGACACGGUCCAAACUCCUACGGGAGGCAGCAGUGAGGAAUAUUGGUCAAUGGACGAGAGUCUGAACCAGUCAAGUAGCGUGCAGGAUGACGGCCCUAUGGGUUGUAAAC
rnacentral:rRNA from 1 species